UACGAAUGGGGCUAGCGUUGCUCGGAAUCACUGGGCGUAAAGCGCACGUAGGCGGCUUUUUAAGUCAGGGGUGAAAUCCUGGAGCUCAACUCCAGAACUGCCUUUGAUACUGAGAAGCUUGAGUCCGGGAGAGGUGAGUGGAACUGCGAGUGUAGAGGUGAAAUUCGUAGAUAUUCGCAAGAACACCAGUGGCGAAGGCGGCUCACUGGCCCGAUACUGACGCUGAGGUGCGAAAGCGUGGGGAGCAAACAGG
rnacentral:rRNA from 1 species